CACGUGUUUUGAACCAUUUUAUUGCUUAAAGUUCAGUGGAAAAUAUAUACAUAUUCAACCCUGCCAUACUAUUUGGCCUACUGCGAGUUGGUCAGUUUUCACUGUUACUCCUAAAUAAUGGGAGCUGGGAAAACCAAAUAGUUCUGAAUUAUUUAUCUGAAACGCUAAGCUUAUGUUAGAGAUUUUUGAAACGUAUAUCAACUUGUUUGAUGCAGGUUUAAAAUUAUUUUUUACUCAAUAAAUGCAAAACC
rnacentral:lncRNA from 1 species